rnacentral:rRNA from 1 species
UGAUGCAUAGCCCGAGUUGAGAGACUGAUCGGGCCACAUUGGGACUGAGACACGGGCCCAAACUCCUACGGGAGGCAGCAGUAGGGGAAUCUUCCACAAUGGACGAAAGUCUGAUGGAGCAAACGCCGCGUGAGUGAAGAAGGUUUUCGGAUCGUAAAAAGCUCUGUUGUUGGUGAAGAAGGAUAGAGGUAGUAACUGGCCCUUUUAUUUGACGGUAAUCAACCCAGAAAGUCACGGGCUAACUACGUGCCCAGCAGCCGCGGUAAAU